rfam:Triticum aestivum genome assembly, contig: Triticum_aestivum_CS42_TGACv1_scaffold_456934_5DS
AUAAUACACCCUCCAUCCAAAAAUACUUGUCAUCAAAAUGGAUAAAAAGGGAUGUAUCUAGAACUAAAAUACAUCUAAAUACAUCCCCUUUUAUUCAUUUUGAUGACAAGUAUUUCUGGACGGAGGGAGUAAGUA